GUAGGUGGCAAGCGUUGUCCGGAAUUAUUGGGCGUAAAGCGCGCGCAGGCGGUUCUUUAAGUCUGAUGUGAAAGCCCACGGCUCAACCGUGGAGGGUCAUUGGAAACUGGAGAACUUGAGUACAGAAGAGGAAAGCGGAAUUCCACGUGUAGCGGUGAAAUGCGUAGAGAUGUGGAGGAACACUAGUGGCGAAGGCGGCUUUCUGGUCUGUAACUGACGCUGAGGCGCGAAAGCGUGGGGAGCAAACAGGGAUUAGAUACCCUGGUAGUCCACGCCGUAAACGAUGAGUGCUAAGUGUUAGGGGGUUUCCGCCCCCUUAGUGCUGCAGCUAACGCAUUAAGCACUCCGCCUGGGGAGUACGGCCGCAAGGCUG
rnacentral:rRNA from 1 species